rnacentral:rRNA from 1 species
UAGGGAAUCUUCCGCAAUGGGCGAAAGCCUGACGGAGCAACGCCGCGUGAGUGAUGAAGGUCUUCGGAUCGUAAAACUCUGUUAUUAGGGAAGAACAAAUGUGUAAGUAACUAUGCACGUCUUGACGGUACCUAAUCAGAAAGCCACGGCUAACUACGUGCCAGCAGCCGCGGUAAUACGUAGGUGGCAAGCGUUAUCCGGAAUUAUUGGGCGUAAAGCGCGCGUAGGCGGUUUUUUAAGUCUGAUGUGAAAGCCCACGGCUCAACCGUGGAGGGUCAUUGGAAACUGUAAAACUUGAGUGCAGAAGAGGAAAGUGGAAUUCCAUGGGUAGCGGUGAAAUGCGCAGAGAUAUGGAGGAACACCAGUGGCGAAGGCGACUUUCUGGUCUGUAACUGACGCUGAUGUGCGAAAGCGUGGGGAUCAAACAGG